AGAGUUUGAUCCUGGCUCAGAUUGAACGCUGGCGGCAUGCUUUACACAUGCAAGUCGAACGGUAACGGGCCUUCGGGUGCCGACGAGUGGCGAACGGGUGAGUAAUGUAUCGGAACGUACCUUUCAGUGGGGGAUAACGUAGCGAAAGUUACGCUAAUACCGCAUAUUCUGUGAGCAGGAAAGCAGGGGAUCGCAAGACCUUGCGCUGAUUGAGCGGCCGAUAUCAGAUUAGCUAGUUGGUGAGGUGAAGGCUCACCAAGGCGACGAUCUGUAGCGGGUCUGAGAGGAUGAUCCGCCACACUGGAACUGAGACACGGUCCAGACUCCUACGGGAGGCAGCAGUGGGGAAUUUUGGACAAUGGGGGCAACCCUGAUCCAGCCAUGCCGCGUGAGUGGAGAAGGCCUUCGGGUUGUAAAGCUCUUUCGGCCGGGAAGAAAUCGCAUGGGUUAAUACCCUGUGCGGAUGACGGUACCGGCAUAAGAAGCACCGGCUAACUACGUGCCAGCAGCCGCGGUAAUACGUAGGGUGCGAGCGUUAAUUGGAAUUACUGGGCGUAAAGCGUGCGCAGGCGGUUUUUAAGACAGGCGUGAAAUCCCCGGGCUCAACCUGGGAACUGCGCUUGUGACUGGAAGGCUAGAGUACGGCAGAGGGGGGUGGAAUUCCACGUGUAGCAGUGAAAUGCGUAGAGAUGUGGAGGAACACCAAUGGCGAAGGCAGCCCCCUGGGUCGAUACUGACGCUCAUGCACGAAAGCGUGGGUAGCAAACAGGACUAGAUACCCUGGUAGUCCACGCCCUAAACGAUGUCAACUAGGUGUUGGGAGGGUAAAACCUUUUAGUACCGGAGCUAACGCGUGAAGUUGACCGCCUGGGGAGUACGGCCGCAAGGUUAAAACUCAAAUGAAUUGACGG
rnacentral:rRNA from 1 species